UACGUAGGGUCCGAGCGUUGUCCGGAAUUACUGGGCGUAAAGAGCUCGUAGGUGGUUUGUCGCGUUGUCCGUGAAAACUCACAGCUCAACUGUGGGCGUGCGGGCGAUACGGGCAGACUGGAGUACUGCAGGGGGAGACUGGAAUUCCUGGUGUAGCGGUGGAAUGCGCAGAUAUCAGGAGGAACACCGGUGGCGAAGGCGGGUCUCUGGGCCGUUACUGACGCUGAGGAGCGAAAGCGUGGGGAGCGAACAGG
rnacentral:rRNA from 1 species